rnacentral:rRNA from 1 species
CCUUUGACGUUAGCGGCGGACGGGUGAGUAACACGUGGGUAACCUACCUAUAAGACUGGGAUAACUUCGGGAAACCGGAGCUAAUACCGGAUAAUAUUUCGAACCGCAUGGUUCGAUAGUGAAAGGUGGUUUUGCUAUCACUUAUAGAUGGACACGCGCCGUAUUAGCUAGUUGGUAAGGUAACGGCUUACCAAGGCGACGAUACGUAGCCGACCUGAGAGGGUGAUCGGCCACACUGGAACUGUGACACGGUCCAGACUCCUACGGGAGGCAGCAGGU